CCCAAGGGAAUCGCUAAGUUAACCGGGCCGAGGUGAAGCGGGAAGAGCUCAAAUUUGAAAUCUGGUAGCCUUCGGUUGCCCGAGUUGUAAUCUAGAGAAGUGUUUUCCGCGUUGGCCCAUGUACAAAUCCCUUGGAACAGGGCGUCAUAGAGGGUGAGAAUCCCGUCCUUGACAUGGACCCCCAAUGCUUUGUGAUACACUUUCAACGAGUCGAGUUGUUUGGGAAUGCAGCUCAAAAUGGGUGGUGAAUUCCAUCUAAAGCUAAAUAUUGGCGAGAGACCGAUAGCGAACAAGUACCGUGAGGGAAAGAUGAAAAGCACUUUGGAAAGAGAGUUAAACAGUACGUGAAAUUGUUGAAAGGGAAACGAUUGAAGUCAGUCAUGCUCUUUGGAUUAAGCCGUUCUGCGGUGUAUUUCAUUGAGCGGGGUCAACAUCAGUUUUGAUCGCUGGAAAAGGGCAGGAGGAAGGUAGCACUCUCGGGUGAACUUAUAGCCUCUUGUCGUAUACAGUGAUUGGGACUGAGGAACGCAGCAUGCCUUUUGGCCGGGAUUCGUCCACGUACAUGCUUAGGAUGUUGACAUAAUGGCUUUAAACGACCCGUCUUGAAACACGGACCAAA
rnacentral:rRNA from 1 species